rnacentral:rRNA from 1 species
AAUAAACGCUGGCGGCGUGCCUAACACAUGCAAGUCGAACGGGAAAGUGGGGCAACCCGUGAGUAUAGUGGCGUACGGGUGAGUAACACGUGGAUAAUCUACCUUCUAGUGGGGAAUAACCUUGGGAAACUGGGGACAAUACCGCAUAAGCUCGAGAGAGGAAAGCAGCAAUGCGCUGAGGGAGGAGUCCGCGGCCGAUUAGCUAGUUGGCAGGGUAAAAGCCUACCAAGGCAAAGAUCGGUAGCCGGCCUGAGAGGGCACACGGCCACACUGGCACUGAAACACGGGCCAGACUCCUACGGGAGGCAGCAGUGGGGAAUCUUGCACAAUGGGGGAAACCCUGAUGCAGCGACGCCGCGUGAGCGAUGAAGCCCUUCGGGGUGUAAAGCUCUUUCGGCAGGGAAGAUGGUGACGGUACCUGCAGAAGCAGCUGCGGCUAACUACGUGCCAGCAGCCGCGGUAAUACAUAGGCAGCAAGCGUUGUUCGGAGUUACUGGGCGUAAAGGGUGUGUAGGCGGUUGUUUAAGUUUGGUGUGAAAUCUCCCGGCUCAACUGGGAGGGUGCGCCGAAUACUGAAUGACUAGAGUGCGGGAGAGGAAAGUGGAAUUCCUGGUGUAGCGGUGAAAUGCGUAGAUAUCAGGAGGAACACCGGUGGUGUAGACGGCUUUCUGGACCGUAACUGACGCUGAGACACGAAAGCGUGGGUAGCAAACAGGAUUAGAUACCCUGGUAGUCCACGCCCUAAACGAUGCAUAUUUGGUGUGGGCAGUUCAUUCUGUCUGUGCCGGAGCUAACGCGUUAAAUAUGCCGCCUGGGGAGUACAGUCGCAAGGCUG